rnacentral:rRNA from 1 species
UGGGGAAUCUUGCACAAUGGGCGAAAGCCUGAUGCAGCAACGCCGCGUGAGCGAAGAAGGCCUUUGGGUCGUAAAGCUCUGUCCUAAGGGAAGAAGGAAGUGACGGUACCUUAGGAGGAAGCCCCGGCUAACUACGUGCCAGCAGCCGCGGUAAUACGUAGGGGGCAAGCGUUAUCCGGAAUUAUUGGGCGUAAAGAGUACGUAGGCGGUUCUUUAAGCGCAGGGUUUAAGGCUAUGGCUUAACUAUAGUUCGCCCUGUGAACUGGAGGACUUGAGUAUCGGAGAGGAAAGCGGAAUUCCUAGUGUAGCGGUGAAAUGCGUAGAUAUUAGGAGGAACACCAGUGGCGAAAGGCGGCUUUCUGGACGAAAAACUGACGCUGAGGUACGAAAGCGUGGGGAGCAAACAGGAUUAGAUACC